ensembl:lncRNA
GCCGUGGUCAGCCUCCCCAGACUUAGCGAUGCCUUCCUGGUAAUCUUUGGACUGAUAUAUGCACUACACCUCAGCUACCCCAAAGCACUGACCAACACUUUUGAAUUCACUGAAAAGAUUUUACUUGGUCUAGAAAGUGGUAAACUGUCACCCAGGUUGCAGACCCUCAAGAAUGACUUGUUGAUGUAAGUGACUGAUGGAGGAGGUGGAGAGGGAGGUGACUGAUGGAGGAGGUGGAGAGGGAGGUGACUGAUGGAGGAGGUGGAGAUGGAGGUGACUGAUGGAGGAGGUGGAGAAGGAGGUGACUGAUGGCGGAGGUGGAGAGGGAGGAUAAGAGGGAGGUGACUGAUGGAGGAGGUGGAGAGGGAGGAUAAGAGGGAGGUGACUGAUGGAGGAGGUGGAGAGGGAGGUGACUGAUGGAGGAGGUGGAGAUGGAGGUGACUGAUGGAGGAGGUGAGGGAGGUGACUGAUGGCGGAGGUGGAGAGGGAGGUGACUGAUGGCGGAGGUGACUGAUGGAGGAGGAGAGAGGGAGGUGACUGAUGGAGGAGGUGGAGAGGGAGGUGACUGAUGGAGGAGGUGGAGAGGGAGGUGACUGAUGGCGGAGGUGACUGAUGGAGGAGGAGAGAGGGAGGUGACUGAUGGAGGAGGAGAGGGAGGUGACUGAUGGAGGAGGUGGAGAGGGAGGUGACUGAUGGAGGAGGUGGAGAGGGAGGUGACUGAUGGCAUAGGAGGAGAGAGGGAGGCUUUGAUUUAUUUUGAUUUAUAGAUGUUUAUUAUUUAUUUUUCUAUUUAAUUUUAAUAUUGCAGUGUGCUAAAAGG